CCUACGGGUGGCAGCAGUGAGGAAUAUUGGUCAAUGGGCGGGAGCCUGAACCAGCCAAGUCGCGUGAGGGAAGACGGUCCUACGGAUUGUAAACCUCUUUUGCCGGGGAGCAACGGGGUCCUUGCGAGGGCCCGCUGAGAGUACCCGGAGAAAAAGCAUCGGCUAACUCCGUGCCAGCAGCCGCGGUAAUACGGAGGAUGCGAGCGUUAUCCGGAUUUAUUGGGUUGAAAGGGAGCGUAGAUGGGUUGUUAAGUCAGUUGUGAAAGUUUGCGGCUCAACCGUAAAAUUGCAAUUGAUACUGGCAGUCUUGAGUACAGUUGAGGUAGGCGGAAUUCGUGGUGUAGCGGUGAAAUGCGUAGAUAUCACGAAGAACUCCGAUUGCGAAGGCAGCUUACUAAACUGCCACUGACAUUGAUGCUCGAAAGUGUGGGUAUCAAACAGGAUUAGAUACCCUAGUAGUC
rnacentral:rRNA from 1 species